CUACCCAGUCAUCCAUCGACCAUCUACACAACACAGAAAUGGUGCCAUUAUCCGAUGAAUACCAAUUCAAAGUGUUUGUGUUGUAGACCUGCAAGUGCCUACUACCAUUUACCCAGCCAUCCAUCGACCGUCAACACAACGUAGAAAUGCGUGCCAUUCUUGGAUGAAUACACAAAGUAAUGGAGUCAGAGACCUGCGCAAGUGCCUACCAUCUAUCUACCCAGUCAUCCAUGUAGCAUCUACA